GAGUAUAAAUUUUUUACAGGUGCCCCUGUGAGGGGAGAAUAGGGAAUCGGGUGCAAAUCCCGAACGGUCCCGCCACUGUAAGCGGUGAGCCAGAUACCCAUUUUGUCACUGACCGAAGGUUGGGAAGGCGGGUAUCAGGCAUUGACCCGCAAGUCAGGAGACCUGCCUGUUACGAAAGAUAUGA
rnacentral:ncRNA from 2 species